rnacentral:rRNA from 1 species
GCUCAGAACGAACGCUGGCGGCGUGCUUAACACAUGCAAGUCGGAUGCGAACGGCGCUUUCGGGCGUUGAGCAGCAUGGCAGACGGGUGAGGAGCGCGUAUCUGACUGGACUCAGGCUGGGGGAUAGUCCCUCGAAAGGGGGUUGAAUACCGCAUGUGCUCGGUGCUGUGAGGGCAUCGAGGAAAGUUGGCCUCUGCGGGCACGCUGAUGGCCUGAGACAGGGAUGCGUCCUAUUAGCUAGCUGGUGGGGUAAGGGCCUACCAGGGCGACGAUGGGUAGCUGGUCUGAGAGGAUGAUCAGCCACACUGGGACUGCGACACGGCCCAGACUCCUACGGGAGGCAGCAGUGGGGAAUUUUGCGCAAUGGGCGCAAGCCUGACGCAGCAACGCCGCGUGCAUGACGACGCCUUUCGAGGUGUAAAGUGCUGUCGACCGGGACGAAGGGGCGAGGGUGAACAGCUUUCGCGCAUGACGGUACCGGUGGAGGAAGCCCCGGCUAACUCCGUGCCAGCAGCCGCGGUAAGACGGAGGGGGCGAGCGUUGUUCGGAAUUACUGGGCGUAAAGCGCGCGUAGGCGGUGCAGCAAGUGGUGCGUGAAAGCCCUCGGCUUAACCGGGGACGGGCGUGCCAAACUGUUGGACUGGAGUGCCGGAGGGGGAGGCGGAAUUCCUGGUGGAGCGGUGAAAUGCGUAGAGAUCAGGAAGAACGUCGGUGGCGAAGGCGGCCUCCUGGACGGACACUGACGCUGAGGUGCGACAGCGUGGGGAGCGAACGGGAUUAGAUACCCCGGUAGUCCACGCCGUAAACGAUGGGUACUAGGUGUGGGGCUUGUGAUGAGGCCCGUGCCGGAGCUAACGCAGUAAGUACCC